ACAGGUACAGUUGUUAUAAGAGACUGCACACCACAGUCAGGCACACGGUGCAGCCCCUGUAAGACAGGGACCUUUAUGAACCAACCCAAUGGCCUGAAAAGCUGUUUCUCCUGCACCUCCUGUGACAAAACAUUUUAUGCCUUGAUCUGAUAUUUGACAGUAGAGAGGGAAGAGUGAGAUUGGAAUGACACAAAACAGAAGUCUGUGGAGACACCACAGCUCAAACUCUAGGGUACGGAGGCGCCCCCUUCAGGUUGGAUGACACACACUUACGGUAAUGUAAUGAAUGCUUUUCUCUCUGCUUUCUGGCACUUUAUAUAUUGAACCAUUAAUCAAUUAAUUCAAGGAAUUAGUUAAGGUGGGUGAUAAUGAAAUGAAUCCUAAAUUGCAGCCCUAGUAAUGAACAUCAUUCAGCAUGUUUACUGAAAAGUGAACCCAAAUAAUUCAGGUUGGUGUGAUUUCAUUUAAAGACCGCUCUCUUUAAUUUGAAGAUGUGUGAGUGAGUGAACCACAGAGCAGCAACAGGCGCUCUGAUUGGCCAGCUACUAUGUGCUGAUAAGGAGUUUGGAUUUCACUUGUUUGGUUGCAGUCAACCAAAAAUGAGAUGAUGAACUAUCUCAUUGUUUCAGAUAUUGUUCAAAGUGGACUCAAAUGUAUAAA